rnacentral:lncRNA from 13 species
AAAAAAUCAAGGGGUAUGAUCAGUGUCUUGCAUGUAGAGGAUGGGUUCUAGUAGAAACAGAGCCCCUGUCCAAAAACAACCCCUUCCUAUAGGAACUGGUGGAGAUCUGAAGGGGAAGGGUUGUUCCUGGAAAGGAACAGACACAUAUUUCCAUAAUAAUAAUUUAUUAUUCCAACUAGCCACAGACCAACCAACAUCCCAGCCAGCAGAAGGGUUUACUAGUUAGCUACAUACAUGAUUUCAAGAAAGUGCAUUACACUCCCUCGGUUGUUCCAUGGACAUAUGGGUCGGUGUUUGUACCAUUGUCAUUAUGACAUCAUCAAUAUNNNNNNNNNNUUAAAUUAUACAGCGACUCAUCCUUCGUAAAAGUUGUUCAGGAAACCUAAACCCGAUGCUAAACCUUAAAACAGUUGGACGUCAAAAUAAAUGCUUCUUUCAACAAGAGGUGAAAUGAGAUGUCAAUCAGCAUCAAACUGCAUGUAGAACAUUAUAUUUUGGGGUGGCACCCGGUGUGGCCAAUCAGAUGGCAGCGGUUUCCAGUGCAAACCUGGACACCCCACUGGCUACGCCCCUGGGGUUAAGUUUAGGAGUUAGGUUAAAGGGUUAAGGUUAGGGUUAGGGGAAGAUUUAGCUAACAUGCUAAGUAGUAGCAAAGUAGCUAAAAAAGUAGUAAGUAGUUUAAAAGAAGCUAAUUAGAUCAAACGUGCAAGUUGUCCGUGAUGAGAUUUAAUAUAAUAUAAAUAUGGAAAGGACCUUUUCCCCACAAUGUGACCUUACUAGGAAAACUUCCAGGUCUUUAACUAAGGCCUGGAGCUUUCCUGGUCAGGUCAUGUAUAGCUUCUUCUAGAAUUAAGGAAUAUAAGGAAAGGAAGCCAUUUAAGAGUAUUGAGACACAGCCAUGUGAGCCACAGUGGCCUGGUCUGUCUGGAUCCUCCAGGCCAGCAGAGGGAGAAAAAAUGAUAUACCGCUCUGGGGACCCCAGGCAAAAUGGCAUCAUAUUCCCUAUAUAGUGCAGUACUUUUGAUAAGGGCCCAUGGAGCUUAGGUAAAAAUCAGUGAAAUAGGGUGCCAUUUCAGACAGUCAGACAAGGAACCAGCAGCCCUAUGUAAUCAAGAGUGCAGCGAUUAUCAUCAACAGUGUUAAAAAAAUAUAUAUUGUAAAGACUAUAUACACCUCACUCACUUUAUAUUCAAUUAUUACACUCAGUUCUCUAAUAUCUCACACACGGGUACAGGAAAAUAACCAGCGAACCAUUAACAUUACAAAACAGACAUUAGGGGACAAACUAUAGUCAUUCAGUCACACACAUACUCUUUCACACUCUUUCACUCUCUCACCAUCUCUCACUUCUCACUCUCUCUCACACAGAACUUUGAGAGUUAUUAUUUGUACAAUAAAUAAGGAGAAUUGCUUUUCAUGAUGUUUCAAAAUGACACAAGCUGAUAAAGCGCAGACACACUGAGAGGAUACCUGUAUCAUAGAGGGUUAUAGGAAGAGGGGUUUGAGGGAAGAAGAAGCACCUGGUUGAAUGAAAUGCAAAUCUCCAGCAC